GACGAACGCCGGCGGCGUGCUUAACACAUGCAAGUCGAACGGAAAGGCCUCUUUCGGGGGGUACUCGAGUGGCGAACGGGUGAGUAACACGUGAGUAACCUGCCCUUGACUUUGGGAUAACUUCAGGAAACUGGGGCUAAUACCGGAUAGGAGCUCCUGCUGCAUGGUGGGGGUUGGAAAGUUUCGGCGGUUGGGGAUGGACUCGCGGCUUAUCAGCUUGUUGGUGGGGUAGUGGCUUACCAAGGCUUUGACGGGUAGCCGGCCUGAGAGGGUGACCGGCCACAUUGGGACUGAGAGACGGCCCCGACUCCGAAGGGAGGCAGCAGGGGGGAAGAUUGCACAAUGGGUGGAGGGCGGAUGCAGCAACGCCGGGUGCGGGAAGACGGCCUUCGGGUUGGAGAAAGCAUUCGCUCAUGACGAAGCUUUGUGUGACGGUAGUGGAUAAAGAAGCACCGGCUAACUACGUG
rnacentral:rRNA from 1 species